CGCAAGAUGAGCUCAAAGACUCCCCUUCUCUGGCUGCUGCUUUUCUGGAUUCAGGGUUCCAAUGGGCAGAUUGUGCUGACUCAGACUCCAGAAUCCCUGGCAGUGUCUCCAGGAGACAGAGUCACCAUCAACUGCAAAGCCAGUACCAGCCUCACCAGUGAGAGCAAAGGAGGUGCUUAUACCGACUUAGCCUGGUACCAACAGAAACCAGGACAAGCUCCUAAGCUCCUUAUCCACAGCGCUUCCACCCGUCCCUCUGGGAUCCCAGACCGGUUCAGUGGCAGUGGGUUUGGCACUGACUUCACUUUUACAAUCAGCCGGGUUGAAGCUGAUGAUGCUGGAGAUUAUUACUGCCAGCAUGGUAACGGCUUCCCUCUCACAGUGAUACAGACCAAUACAAAAACCUCCCUGCUCUAUGAAGCAUGA